rnacentral:rRNA from 1 species
UACGGGGGGGGCAAGCGUUGUUCGGAAUUACUGGGCGUAAAGGGUGCGUAGGUGGCGAGGUAAGUUCGAUGUGAAAUCUCCGAGCUCAACUCGGAAAUGGCAUUGAAUACUAUCCCGCUUGAGGGUCGGAGGGGAGACUGGAAUUUACGGUGUAGCAGUGAAAUGCGUAGAGAUCGUAAGGAAGACCAGUGGCGAAGGCGAGUUUCUGGACGGUAACUGACGCUGAGGCACGAAGGCCAGGGGAGCAAACGGG